rnacentral:rRNA from 1 species
AUUGAACGCUGGCGGAAUGCUUUACACAUGCAAGUCGAGCGGCAGCGCGGGGCAACCUGGCGGCGAGCGGCGAACGGGUGAGUAAUACAUCGGAACGUGCCCAGACGUGGGGGGAUAACUACUCGAAAGAGUGGCUAAUACCGCAUACGAUCUAAGGAUGAAAGCGGGGGAUCGCAAGACCUCGCGCGUUUGGAGCGGCCGAUGGCAGAUUAGGUAGUUGGUGGGGUAAAGGCUUACCAAGCCCGCGAUCUGUAGCUGGUCUGAGAGGACGACCAGCCACACUGGGACUGAGACACGGCCCAGACUCCUACGGGAGGCAGCAGUGGGGAAUUUUGGACAAUGGGCGAAAGCCUGAUCCAGCCAUACCGCGUGCGGGAAGAAGGCCUCGGUUGUAA